GAUGAACGCUGGCGGCGUGCUUAACACAUGCAAGUCGAACGGAAAGGCCCAAGCUUGCUUGGGUACUCGAGUGGCGAACGGGUGAGUAACACGUGGGUGAUCUGCCCUGCACUUCGGGAUAAGCCUGGGAAACUGGGUCUAAUACCGGAUAGGACCACAUUUUGGAUGGUGUGGUGGAAAGUUUUUCGGUGUGGGAUGAGCUCGCGGCCUAUCAGCUUGUUGGUGGGGUAAUGGCCUACCAAGGCGUCGACGGGUAGCCGGCCUGAGAGGGUGUACGGCCACAUUGGGACUGAGAUACGGCCCAGACUCCGACGGGAGGCAGCAGUGGGGAAUAUUGCACAAUGGGCGCAAGCCUGAUGCAGCGACGCCGCGUGGGGGAUGACGGCCUUCGGGUUGUAAACUCCUUUCGCUAGGGACGAAGCGCAAGUGACGGUACCUGGAGAAGAAGCACCGGCUAACUACGU
rnacentral:rRNA from 1 species